rnacentral:rRNA from 1 species
CCUUAACCUGGCCUUGACAUACUAAGAACUUUCCAGAGAUGGAUUGGUGCCUUCGGGAACUUAGAUACAGGUGCUGCAUGGCUGUCGUCAGCUCGUGUCGUGAGAUUGUUGGGUUAAGUCCCGCAACGAGCGCAACCCUUUUCCUUAUUUGCCAGCGGGUUAAGCCGGGAACCUUAAGGAUACUGCCAGUGACAAACUGGAGGAAGGCGGGGACGACGUCAAGUCAUCAUGGCCCUUACGGCCAGGGCUACACACGUGCUACAAUGGUCGGUACAAAGGGUUGCUACCUCGCGAGAGGAUGCUAAUCUCAAAAAGCCGAUCGUAGUCCGGAUCGCAGUCUGCAACUCGACUGCGUGAAGUCGGAAUCGCUAGUAAUCGCGGAUCAGAAUGCCGCGGUGAAUACGUUCCCGGGCCUUGUACACACCGCCCGUCACACCAUGGGAGUUUGUUGCACCAGAAGUAGGUAGUCUAACCGCAAGGAGGACGCUUACCACGGUGUGGCCGAUGACUGGGGUGAAGUCGUAACAAGGUAAGCGUAGAUGA